ACGAUACAGAGCUUGAUAAGGAUUUUGUUGAUGUCAUGCUAGCUCUGAAGAACAAUCCUACAAGUACUCACCAGCAAUUAGCGCAGAUCAUCGAUAGAUCAAUUACCAAAGCCAUUAUCUUGGAUAUGAUUUUCGGAGCCAUUGAUACCUCCCACACCGCGAUAGAAUGGAUCAUGUCAGAACUCCUCCGACAUCCAAAAGUGAUGAAACGACUUCAAGAAGAAAUUAGUGUCAUAGUAGAUGGCGAACUUGUGGAAGAAUCACAUCUGGAUAAACUUGAGUACCUAGACAUGGUGGUCAAGGAAGCCUUGAGACUUCAUCCGGUGGGACCCCUGUUAGUUCCUCAUGAGUCGAUGGAGGACAUUGUGAUCGAUGGAUAUUACAUAGAGAAGAAUUCGCGUGUGAUCAUUAAUGGUUGGGGCAUUGGACGAGAUCCAAGGAUUUGGUCUGAAAAUGUGGAAGAAUUCAUUCCUGAGAGAUUUGCGGGUACUGACAUAGAUCUCCGGGGGAAAAGUUUUCAGCUUAUACCAUUUGGUUCAGGCCGGAGAGGCUGUCCAGGUAUACACUUGGGACUAAUAAACAUCAAAUUGGUGGUUGCUCAGUUAGUACACAGCUUCGAUUGGGAGCUACCUUUGGGGAUUUCACCGGACGAGUUAAAUAUGGAUGAAACAUUCGGUUUGUCAUUGCCAAGGGCAGAGCAUCUCCUGGCCAUACCCAAAUUUAGGAAAAGUUGAAUUCCACAUUCAUGGUGGUAUGUGUGAUUGUCCUGUGUAACUUUAAGCAGAAUGAGUAGCUACCCUCUUGUGAGGAGUUGUUUUGAUAAAUUGUUAUGUGCGGACUGCAGUGUUUUAUCAACUCCCUCCCUUCUUAAUUAUCAAUCGCAUCUGUUUUUAAUUUUAAAAUUUAAAAUAUCAAACUGAUCGAUAUUUGAUUAAAUAUUAAAAUUAUUUAUUUAUUAUAUUAAUAAAUUAAAAAAUAUAUAAAUAGAUUUUUUUUUUUUUUGAGCCAGAGUCGAACCCAGGACCUGGGCCAACAGAGGAUAAGCCCUUAACCACUUGGGCUAUCCAAUCGUGCUCAAAUAUAUAAAUAGAUUAGUUACAUGUUUUAGUGAAAAAAUUUGUUUAACUCUUCGAAUCAUAUAAUACACAUAAAUUUCAUCAAUUUAAAUAAUCAAAAAUCACUUAAAUAUUAUAAAUCUGUAUUUAGGGAGGGCCAGUAAAUAUCUAUAUAUAUUAAUUGGUUCUUUACACUUUGACAUUUCAAUUUCUGGUUCGCUUACAUUCCACUUAUGACAACAUUUUUGUAUUUUUCCACUACUGCAUAUUUUUCUUCCAAAGAAUUAUUGCAGUUCCUAGUUAAAACAAAAUUUAUGACAGGGCAAGAUCAAUCUUAUCCGUGUCAUGUUGACAACGUUAACUGUGGAUUUGUUUUUCAUAUUUUCAACUUUUCGUUCUUCUAGGUGUUAUGUGUCUACAUUUAAAUACCAGAUGAUUUUCAGCUCGAGUGUUUGAUGGGAGAUAUUUUUCUAUCAAUUUAAUUCCUGUAUUGUUGGCUGAUUUGAAUGAUAAAUGGAAUACUUUUUCCGUCAAAAAAAAAUGAAAGAUGAUAAUAGAACGAUCAUAGAUUACAUUUUCAAAGAUACUCCCUCCGUCCCCCUGAGUAGUAUACAUUGGGGGACGGGGAUGCGGCACGGACUUUAAUGCUCCUGUAAAGUGUAGUUGUGUAAUUUAUUUUUAAAAUUUUCUUUUUCUGAAUUAAAGUUUGGAUGCUAUAUUUUUAUUCAGAAAAAGAAAAUCUCAAAAAUAAGUUAUGGAACUAUGUUUUAUAAGAGCAUUGAAAUGCGUGUCGAGCAGUUGAAAAGAAACGUAUACAAUUAAAUGGGACAGAGGGAGUAGACAAACCGUAUAAAGUUGACUUGUUCGGAUAUGAUUAAUGUAAAUUGUUUAAUUAUAAUUUAGUAAAAUGAUUUAACAAUCAUUCAUGCAUGGGAAAUUUAUUUAAAAUAAUCCAAUCAAUAAAAUAGAUUUAAAAAAAUGGAGAUAAGUUAGAUAUAAAUAUAUGUCAUUUUGAUUUUGGAUCUGCAUUCUAAUUUCUUGCAUGAUUUAUGGACAUUAGUUUAUUUUAAUUUCCUAACAAAAAAUAUAAAUGUAAAGUCUGAAUAAUUUUUUUAGAUAUUCAUUUUAUUUUCAUUUUUUUCAUUCAAAAUUCAUUUUUUUUUUGAAAUAAAUCAUAUUAAUAAAAUUCAUUUUUUAUUAAAUCAUAUUAUAUAUAUAGAAAAUUACAUAACAUAUCAUCCUUUCCUUUAUUAAUAUAAUUGAUGAGUAGUUUAUCAGAGUAAUCGAUGAUAAAAUUUCUAUUGAUAAGAAAGUGGUCAAGAUUUAAAGUUGGGGAGCAACUGUGUUGAUGUCAUGCUAGCUCUAUGAAGAAUCAACAUAUAUCAUUUUUUGUAAAAAAUAAAUUAUUAAAUUAUAUUAAUUAAAAAUAUUAAUAAAAUUAUUAUUGUCAUAUAUUUUUGCAUCAUUGAUUGAGUUUUGUAUCAAACAUUAAUAUUUCAUUACUUAAAUAGAGACGGAAAAAAUAAAAAAUAAAUGUAUCUCAUACUUCCAUUUCAUACCCACCUCCCCACUUGGGUAUCAAAAACAACUCAUACCAUGGAGGUUUAAGGCUGGGUUUCAGAUUUUGUUUUUCUUUAGACAAACCUCAUACAUUCCAUAAAUCCAUGAACCAAACGACUCCUAAAUAGAAUGAAUAUGUAUUAGAUUUUUAAUUAAAAUAAUUAGAAUGAAAUAAUGGAAGUAACGAAAAUUUUAAACUAUUUUACUGAUCACUAGCAAUUUAUACCAGUAAAUUUAAGAUUAGCAGAGAGAGAGGCUAUAGCUCAAUAUAUAUAUACGCAUAUUGUGAUAAUGCAUUUGCAGGUGCAGCACCUUUCUUUGACAAGAAACAAGUAGCAACACUUUCACAGCUCUUCAACAUGUCUCCCACAGAUUUUGCAUUGCUUAUAGUAAGCGCCGGAUCCUUGUGGUGGUUCAUCCUGCAGUGCCGAACCAUGGUUCGCCAACACGGCCGCAGACAACCACCCGGGCCAAUAGGUCUACCGGUCAUCGGUCACCUCCACAUGCUAGGAAAACUCCCUCACCGCAGCCUCUACAAGUUGUCACAAAAAUACGGUCCCAUAAUGUCGAUCCGCCUCGGAUCUGUUCCCACAAUUAUAGUGUCGUCGCCUUCGGCUGCCGAGCUCUUUCUCAGGACUCACGACACGGUUUUUGCGAGCCGGCCUAAUGCCCAGGCCGCCGAGUACUUAUCUUAUGGCAGCAAAGGAAUGGCAUUCUCGAAAUAUGGUUCGUACUGGCGCAGCGUGAGAAAGUUUUGCACAAUGGAGCUUCUUAGUGUCGCGAAAAUUGAUUCUAUGGCUAGGCUGAGAAGGGAGGAGCUGGGCUUGCUAGUGGAGUCCCUGAAAGUGGCAGCCAGGGCCGGUGAGGUGGUGGAUUUUAGCGAGAAGGUCGCGCGUCUGAUAGAAGACAUGACUUGUCGGAUGUUGUUUGGGAAGAGCAGAGAUGAUCGGUUUGAUUUGAGUAAGAUCAUACAUGAGCUGGCAGAGAUUGCUGGAGCCUUCAAUGUUGCAGAUUAUGUCCCAUUUUUAGGGGCAUUUGAUCUCCAGGUAUCAAUAACUGUAAAACUAUACUUUUCUAUUUAUCGACGGGGCCGUUUGGGUGAACUUAAAAAAAGUGUUUAUUGCUUAAAGUAAAAAAGUGAAGUAGAAGUUAGAAGCAAGUUAAGACUUAUAAGUGAUAAAAGUGUUUGGGAAAUAAGUAGAAGCCGUGAGACAAAAGCUAGUAUUCGUAGCUUUUUUUAAGUAAUUCUUGACUUUUUACACAAACGGUACAAAUAAGUGCUUCGAACUUAUAAUUCAGAAGCCGGGCUUAUAAGUCCGUGCCAAACACCCACUUAAUUAUCAGGGACCCUGAUCUUUAAAUCUUUAAUGUAAUUGUUGUUAUCAGGGAUUAACUCGACGCUCCAGAGUGACUGCUAAGGCAUUUGAUAAAAUCCUGGAAACGAUCAUCGAUGAUCAUGAAGAAAAAGCUAGAAAUGACGAUACAAAGCUUGAUAGGGAUUUUGUUGAUGUCAUGCUAGCUUUGAAGAACAAUCCUACAAGUACUCACCAGCAAUUAGCGGAGACCAUUGACCGAUCGAUCACCAAAGCAAUUAUCCUGGACAUGAUUUUCGGAGCCAUUGAUACCUCCCAAACUGCGAUUGAAUGGAUCAUGUCAGAACUCAUCCGACAUCCAAGCGUGAUGAAACGACUUCAAGAAGAAAUUAAUAUCAUAGUAAAUUGCGAAGUUGUGGAAGAAUCACAUCUGGAUAAACUUGAGUACCUAGACAUGGUGGUCAAGGAAGCCUUGAGACUCCAUCCGGUGGCACCACUGUUAGUUCCUCAUGAGUCAAUGGAGGACAUUGUGAUAGAUGGAUAUUACAUAGAGAAGAAUUCGCGUCUAAUUAUUAACAAUUGGGGCAUAGGACGAGAUCCUGGGAUUUGGUCGGAAAAUGUUGAAGAAUUCCUUCCUGAGAGAUUUGCGGGUACUGACAUAGAUCUCCGGGGGGAAAGUUUUCAACUUAUACCGUUUGGUUCAGGCCGGAGAGGUUGUCCGGGCAUGCACUUGGGCUUAAUAAACAUCAAAUUGGUGGUUGCUCAGUUGGUACACAGCUUUGAUUGGGAGCUACCUUUCGGCAUUUCACCGGACGAGUUAAAUAUGGAUGAAGCAUUCGGUUUGUCAUUGCCAAGGGCAGAGCAUCUCCUGGCCAUACCCAAAUUUAGGAAAAGUUGAAUGUGGAAUUCCACAUUCAUGGUGGUAUGUGAUUGUCCUGCGUAACUUUAAGCAAUAUUAGUAGCUACCCUUUCCUCAGAAGUUGUUGUAAUAAAUUGUUAUGCGUGAAAUGCAGUGUGUAAUCAACUUCAUACAUGACUGGUAUUGCCUUAUAUCCCGUACAAAAUUGACAAAAACAUGACAAUUAAAGAUUUCGUAAUCCUCAUCCUCCCGGAAAAUUCAUGGAAUCAACCUUAUAGAUGUCGUAGAAAUUCUGUUAUUCUUUUUCGGUGGUAGUCACACAGACGUAUAAAUCAAUACCCUUUAUUAAUAAGCGAAACCACAUUUCGGUGGAACAUCGGUACCAAAAGUACCAAAAUUUGGUCACUUUCACAUUGAUUAGGAUUUUAUAAUCAUUAUUAAAAUACUACAAAAGACUUCUAUAUUGAAUAGAAUUUUAUUAUUAAAGACUUUAAUAUUCAUUAGGACAAUGAAAGACUUAUGUAUUAAUUAAAAUUUUAUUAUUAAAGACUUCAAUAUUGAUUAGGACAAUGUUAUAUAAUUUUUUUAUUUAAUAACAAUAAUCAUUAUAGAAUUAUGAAAAAAAAUUCAUAUUGUUAGGAUUCUAUAGUUACUAUUAUAUAUUUUUAGGAUUUUAUAAUUGUUAUUAUACAAUUAUGGAAAGACUUCUAUAUUGAUUCGGAUUUUAUUAUUAAAAAUUUCAAUAUUAGUUAAGAUUUUAUAAUUAUUAUUUAAUUAUAUAAAAAGGCUUCUAUAGUGUUUAGGAUUUUAUAAUAUAACAUUUAUCCUAUCCGCACAGUUAAAUCGCUAACAAUUUAACUUAUAAAACAGUUCUAUAAAUUUUUAUAUCAAAAUCUGGCUAUCAUCAUAUUAUUUUUUAUUUAACAAUUAUCUCACUAUUAAAACAAUAUUAUCAACAAAAUUCUUUUUUUAGUUUUUUAAAACUCAAAUAAUUUAAUAUACGCAACAACUCUGUAAAUCUUUUAUCAUGCUUCAGAGUUCAAAUAAAUAAGGAGUUUAUAUUGAUAUUAAUAUAAUAUUCAUAUAUAGUUUUAUCAAUAAGCAGAAUCAAUAUCAUCAAAAUACUAAAUAUCAAAUUACCAAAAUUUGGUUAUUAUCAUAUAUUUUUAAAUAAUAAUUAUUAUUAUCAUAUAACUAUGAGAAUACUUUCAUGUAUGAUCAGAAUUUUUGUAAUAUAAUGAUUAUCACACCAACAAAAUGACAGUUAACAAAGCUACUAAUUUUAAAUUUUAAAACUCAAAUAAUUUAUUUUAUAAAAUAACUUUAAUUUGGUUAUCAUCAUAUAAUUUUUUUAUUUGGCUGUAAUAAUAAUAAUAAUUAUUAUCAUUCAGUGCUCUUCAGAAGAUUGCGAUAAAGACGAAUAAGGCGGUUGUAACACUGAAUUGACAAAUGGAAACUUAAAAAAAAUGAAGCCAUUGUUCAUAUUGCAGCAUAUAAUAAAAAAAUAGAAACACAUAUGUCAAAAUAUUUGAUAUCAAAUUAAUUUUGGAAAGUUAAUUAACUUUGUCAAACUACAAUAUUAGUUUAUCAAACAACUGCAACACCACGGUUAGAUCUGCAAAAACUCCAACUAGAAUUAUAUAUAAUGUUUGUCUAUUAAAUGAAUAAAAUAAUUGCGAAUUAAAAUUUUGAAUUUUUAUUCAAGAUUAAAGACGCUAUAAACGAACUUAUAUGUGUUGAUCUUGAAUAUUAUUUUCACAAUUUAAAAAUCAUCAAACAACAUAGUAAUUUUACUAAAAUAAAACAUAUUGUUAGAGUUAAGUUCCAUAAAAUCCGCAUUUAAGCCGUAAUAAGUACCAAUCAUAAUAUUUUAGUUUAGUCAUAAAUAAUAGACUUAACUGCAGGAGGAUCUCAACUAUUUUUUUCUGGCACAAAAGUGACCCAAAUAUAAAAUCGGAUAGUGUGAAGGCCUAACUAUUUUCUUUAAACACAUGAGUGUAUUCAAUUUAUGAUUUAAUUACAAUAUGAUGAUCGAACAAUGUUUUUUUAACACAAAAAUGGCCCAAAAAUAUAAAUAAACAAUAUUUUUUAGACUAAUUUAGACGGAAUGCAAUCAUCUGCUUAGAAAAAUAUCUGAGCCAUUUUUGUGAGAAAAAUAAAAGUUGAGGCCAUCUUCUUGCAAUUAAGUCUAAAUAAUAUUUUUAAUUAUUCAAAUUUUAUAUGUAAUUUAUCAUCAUUAAGUAGUUUUAAAUAUAAUUAUCAAUUAAUCAUUAACAUCUUUCAACAUUAACAAUCAUUAAGAUCAUUAUUCUACUUAUGAGUUACAUUUUAGAACAUAUAUAGUGUUUAGUGAUUUAUAAAAUAAUUGUUUUAUGUUUUGAUUGCAACGAUUAUAUUGUAGAACAUAAACUCCAAAUAUUUUUAAAUAAUUUUGGACUACGACACUUUUAAUUUAUGGACUCCAUUGAAUAGGAACUUAUAUUGUUAUGAAAUAAAUUUAAAAUAGGAUCAAAUUUUAAUAUAUAAAAUCUUAUAUUAAAUAACAAUAAUUCAAAUGUCAUUUAAAACAAUAAUUUAAAUAGGUAUAAUAAAAAUAUGAUAGCGUAAUUAAAAAAAGACAUUACUCUUCCAAUAAAUAAUAAAUUUUAAAAUUUUAGUCAAACCCGUGCUUGGCACGGGUUAUCAACUAGUAUUAUAUAAAUUAGUGUUAUAACGGUGCGCGGCACAGAGCUCUAAAUAUAGAUAUUAUGAUUGAGUUUUUACGGAAGUAGAUGCAAAUAUAGGAGUGGAAUAUUUAGAAGAAAAAAAUUCAAAAUAAUUUAUUAAACUAUAUUUUAUGAGAGUAUUAGAAUACGUGCCGACUCAUCCGAAGGUGCACAAGGAUGAAAGGUCUUUUCACGAUUGACAACCUUCUUUACUGUUUUUUUUUUUUUUUUUUAAAGUAGGAACCCGCAGCCGCUACCCUUCGGGUGCGCACUGGGUAAACCCACGAGCUCACGCAAUAGCCUGCAAACUACGUGAACCAAGGUAAACCGCACCUAAGCGCGACAGGCUCUGAUCCAGGAGGCAUAAUCACAAAUUCUGCUCCCUUCUUGACUGUUUGCCUUCACCUAAACAAGUUCUGAACGGAGUGCAAGUUUUUCGACCCCAAAACAAGUUCGACUAUUGUCAUUGUAAUUAUAUUUUAAAUUUCUUUUCUGUAGAAUAUAAAACUGAUUAUUAUUAAUUCUUGUUCCUCUAAAAAAAGAUUACAUCCAUAUUUAUAACAAACGUACUUGACUCCUAACAAUACUCUGCUACUUCUAAUAAAUCUCCUAAAAUAAGAUAGACUCAAUACCUCCUACAAACUCUCUAUAACUCCAACAAUCAUCCAACUACUACAAUCUAAAAUUAAUCCUCAAAAUAAAUAACUAAACAAAUAAUAAUAAUAAAUAAAUUUAAGAUUAUUCCAACAAUCACCCCCAUAAUCUUAAAUUUACUUAACAAAAUUUAUGAAGCACUUCUCUUCAUCUUGUGAUGCACUUCUCACCACCAUCAAUUUUGUUAAUGCACUUCUCAUUAACACCAAUUUGUUGAUGCACUUCUCAUCAACGCCAAAUUCAGUGGAGCACUUCUCUCCAAGUUCACAUAAUCACCCAUAAUUCUAAAGUUCUCUCCAGGUGCAUAUAAUCACCCAUAAUUCUAAAAAAUAUAAAAUUCUCCCUCUAUUCCGUCAUAAAAAACACAAGAUCCAUCUCGUUCUACAUGGCCUUCUAUCUCAUUUUCUGCCUUCAGCACCCUUCUCCGGCAUCGCCUCGUCUUUCUCGGCAGCCCCAUACUACACAUGCAUCCCAUACUACACAUGCAGCUUUACCACCAUCCUUCUGCAACGCCUACAUGAAACUAUCUCGUCAAACCCUCACUAUGUGCCUCCACCACUAGCUGCGGCUUCACCACCGCCUGGCGGCGGAACAACAAAACCUCGCUCGGAUACCAAGUGUAGAAUAUAAAACUGAUUAUUAUUAAUUCUUGUUCCUCUAAAAAAAGAUUACAUCCAUAUUUAUAACAAACGUACUUGACUCCUAACAAUACUCUGCUACUUCUAAUAAAUCUCCUAAAAUAAGAUAGACUCAAUACCUCCUACAAACUCUCUAUAACUCCAACAAUCAUCCAACUACUACAAUCUAAAAUUAAUCCUCAAAAUAAAUAACUAAACAAAUAAUAAUAAUAAAUAAAUUUAAGAUUAUUCCAACAUUUUCAUCAUUCUAAAUUUUGUAUAUGAAAGUCAAUUUCUAGUCUAAGUUUAGUACAUAGUUUUGUUAACGAGACCGAGUUCGCUGGUUUUAGUUUACUGUGCAAGUUAUGCAGCUGAGUCUUGUUUUUGGGUUUGUUUUGGUCGAGUCUGUAUGAGUUGAAUCUGUUUUGUCUGGCCGAGUUGGCGAGUGGUAUAUUGUUUUCGAGGCUUGCUAGUAAUCUGUUUGUUUGAUGAUUUGAUGAGUCUGCGGUUUUGUUUUCCUUUUCAACUUGUAUGUUUGAUUUAGUAAGUCGAGUAGGUGCUUGUGUUUUGAGGAUUGAGUCUUUGGUUUUCUAUAUCACUGGCGAGCCAUUCUGUUGUGUUUUGUUCGUCGGUCUUUGUUAAUUAUUUUGUUAAAUAAUUUGGAUGAUAAAUUUUGGGUAAUUAAAGUUAAUUAGAUUAUACACUCAAUUAGAUUUUAUAAUAACAAAAAUUAGUUUUUAAAACACUCAUCUUCACUAAACAAAUUAUUCUGAUUCGUCUAGAUUAGAAAUAAUAGAUUGCAAAAAUGAAAUAAAUAAUCUUUGUGGAACAAAUUCUUAAAUUAGUAAAACGACGAUCGUGCGCUUGUAAUUUUAAAAUCAAUUUUUUUUAGCACAUCAGCUAUAGCAUAUUUUUCUUCCUAAAAAAUUAUUGCAGUUCCUAUUUAAAACAAAAUUUAUGAAGGGCUAGAUCAAUUUUAUCGUUUUACUGUGACAUGUUGACAAAAUCAAUUGUUCACGUGUUUUUCAUAUUUUCAAUUUUUUGUUUUUCUAUAUGUGUGCAUUUACAUGCAACGGGAAUUAACGUGUCAAUUUUUCUAUGUGUGUGUAUUUAAAUGCCCGAUGGUGAUGGAACAACCAUAGAUUACAAUUUCAAAGAUAGACAAAUCGUAUAGAGUUGACUUAUAUUAUAUUAUAUGAUUUGGAUUUCACAAUCAUUCAUGCAUGGUAAAUUUAUUUAAAAUCAUCCAAUCAAUGAAUAAAUUAAAAAAUGGAGAUCAAAUUAGAUAAUUCUUAUGCAUGCGUUUAAAUGCCGGCUUCGGGGAAUGAGCGAUCAUAUGUAGUAUUUUCAAACAUAAAUAAAUUGUAUAAAUUGACUUCAUUUAAAUAUGAAUAUAAUUUAUUUUUUUGAGGUUUUGAUUUUUGACAUAUAUUUUUAAGUACUUUGAUAUGGUAUUUAGAAAUAUUAUUGUUAAAAUUUUCUAUUUCUGAAAAAAAAUAUACAAUCAAAAUUUUAAUUAAAACAAUAAUUUUAUUAUCCAAAAAUAUUAUUUCUUAAAAAAAAAUUCUAAGUAAAAAUAUGUAGUCAAACUUUUUUUUUUAUUAAAAAUUAUAUUUUUAAUUAUCCGAUCAAGUCACAUAAAAAUGUGUGUGAAAGAUAAAAAUAUGUCAUAUAAAAAAUUGAGGGACUAAUAUCUAUUAAUCUGAGCGUGUUUAACUCACGAUUUGGAUACCAACAAAUGAAAUGAUUGAUAUAUACUGCAUGAUAAAAGAAAAAUUGAAAUAAAUUAAGUUUGCAAAUAUAUUAUCAUGCAUGAUAUUAAAAAGGAAGAUCGAAUUUGAUAGUAAUAUAUGUUGUUUUAAUAUUAGAAUUUUAGAUAAAUAUUAUUUUUUACAGGUUUUAAGUUACAUAAACAUGUUAUUUAUUGUUCUUGUAAUUUUCUAAUAAAAAUAUAUAUUAUAAAUUUUAUGUAGAUAAAGAAAAGUUUAAACGAUACUCACUCUUUCUUUUUUCGCGGAUAAAACUCCUCCUUAUAUUGAAGUAUAUUAAAUAUACUCAGAAUCAUCGAAAAAGCGCGGUUUAAUUUUGGUUAAAAUCAUAUGAUUCGACUCUUUAAAUUUUAAGAUGAAAAAUAUCUUAAUAAAAUAAGUUAAAACCUAAUUUAAUUUUAGAAAUAAGUGACUUAAAAAUCAGUAAAAUAUAUUUUUCUGAAUAACAUAAUAUUUUAUUAUAAAAGUCUGUAUUAUCAUUCUAAAAGAAAUUAUCAAAGUUAUUUGAGAAUUUGCCAAAAAUACUAUAUUUUCUUAUUUUUUGAAAUUUACUAUCUUAUAAAAAUAUUUACGAAAAUACUGUCUUAAACUAAAAUAGUGACAUGCAACUUUUUUUAUAUACAAUUUGGAAUAAGAUGCAAUAUAAAGUAAACUUUCUCGAAAAAAAUUGAAAUCAUUUUUGAUUGUAAUGUAUGUUGAUAUUGGUUGCAUCUAAUUUCAUGUAGGUGGCACAUUAUAAAUUUUCAAAAAAUAAUAUUUUUGUAAAAAGAUUUAAAACAAUAAAAAUAUUUUAGUUUAAAAUUUUAAAAGACUUGAUAUAUUUUUCAAAAAUAAACAACUUUUAUUAUUAUAUUUUUAUCAACGAAAAAAUCAUCCAACAUAUAACAUUAUCAAAAUAAAAAGCCGUUCACUUAUUACAUUCACUUAAAGUAUAAAUUACUUAAUUUUCAAUAAGUCAGUCUGACUAAUGAGUAAAUUUUACUCUCUCCGUCCACCAAGUUCUUUACGUUAUUUUUUGUCACGCAUUUUUAUAAGGCUCUUAUAAAAUAUACUUACAUUAUAUAUUUAUUUAAAAAAAUUCUGAAAAAAAAUUUGACGUUAAACUUUUAUUUAAAAAAAAAAAUUAAAAAAAUAUUAUUAAACUAUACUUUAUAUAAGCAAACAUCCUGGUCUCGGGGAGUAGUUUUUAUCGGUGUAUAUAUACACGUGCAUUAUGCAUUUGCAAGUGUAGCACCUUUCUCUGACAAGAAACAAGAAGCAACACUUUCACAGCUCUUCAACAUGUCUCCCACAGAUUUUGCAUUACUUAUAGUAAGCGCCGGAGCCUUGUGGUGGUUCAUCCUGCAGUGCCGAACCAUGGUUUGUUAAGAUACAUGACCAGCAAGAGCAUGAAGAGAGUGACAGCUAGCAUGCACACGUCAGCAACAGUUUGUUACAAGUCGUUAUCAUACAGUUAGCUAGUAGCACUACUUGCACGACUUAGUUUUCUAUGCUACAUUGUCUAUAAAUACAUCUGCACUGUUAUUCAUUUCUAGUCAGUAAGAAAUAGAGGAAGAAUAGCUAUAGUUCAGUUUACAGUAUGUAGUCAUAUCCUAGCUUUAUACACAGUGUACAUGAGAGAUUGUUCAUGGCUGAUAUUCUGUAAACAGUUGAUUCUUGUUCUUAAUGGAAGAUUUCAGUAGUUUUUCAGUGAAUUGUAACAUGGUAUCAGAGCGUAUGGAUGAGAAUCGAUCCGAUCUUCCAUUGAUUGUUGUCAUCUAAAGUUUCAAGGUAUUUCUUGAUACUUCAUUGCUGUAGUUUCUUGCUUGUUUUGAUCGCAUUUUCUUGAACGCAUUUGAUCGAUUUCUUGAAGUUUUACAUCGAUUUGCUUGACUCUGUUCUUGACAUUUGUUCUUAUUGAUUCUUGUGAUUUCUUGUGUUGUGAAAUCGAUCGAGAUAUUGUGUUCUUUCUGGAAAUCAAGAUUUUGUUCUGAAUUACUUUCUUCUUACAAAUCUAUAUCAGUUCUGUUUUCUGAUAUACAAUGGCUACCAAUUUGAUUGCUGAUCCUUCUCAAAACCCUAGUUCUCCAUAUUAUAUACAUCCUUCUGAUAAUCCUGGAAUGAAAAUAGUUUCUAUUCAAUUUGAUGGAUCUGGUUACAGUGAUUGGAAACGUUCUAUUUUGAUUAGUUUAUCUGCGAAAAACAAAAUUGGUUUUGUGGAUGGUUCUAUUGAGAAACCACAGUUGGAUGAUGUUGUUACUUGUAAAGCUUGGGAUAGAUGUAAUAGCAUGAUGAUUUCUUGGUUGUUGGGUGUUCUUGAUCAAACUAUUGCUCGAAGUGUCUUGUAUUUCAAGACUGCAAGAGAAAUUUGGUUGAAUUUAGAGGAAAGAUAUGGCCAAUCUUCUGGCACAAUGUUGUAUGCUGUUCAACAGGAGAUGUAUAAUCUCAAACAAGGUCAAGAUUCUGUUUCUGCCUAUUAUACGAAAACUAAGAUGGUUUGGGAUCAGUUGGAUGCUAUAGAUCCUCUACCUAUGUCUGAUUGCACACACUGCACAAAUGAUGUGAUCCAGAAAUUGAUCAAAUCUCAAGAGGACAGAAGACUUGUUGAUUUUCUUAUGAAAUUAAAUGAAGGUUUUGAGAUAAUCAGAGGCAAUAUUUUGGUGAUGAAUCCUCUACCAUCUAUAUCACAUGUUUAUCGUUUGUUACUUCAAGAGGAAAGUCACAAGAAGCUUUAUCAGCCUAGUUCACAGUCUACUGAUGAGAUAAUGGCAUUUGCUGCCAACAGAUUUAGAAACAAUUUUAAGCAAGGUUUUGGUUCCACUGGCAAUAAUGAAUCAAAAGGAAAGUUCAAUCAAUAUUUCUGUGAUCAUUGUAAGACUCCAGGUCAUACUAUUCAAAGGUGUUACAAGAUACAUGGCUAUCCACCACACUUCAAGACAGACAAAGACAAAAGGAUGGCUGCCAAUGCUAAUUUGAUUCCUGGUGAUACCUCUGAUUUUAUUGAGAAUUCUGGACAGAAAGAUGAAGGGUUCACAGCAACUCAGUAUUCCCAGUUGUUGAAAUUGUUAGGAAAGGAAAAUUUCUUGAUGGAUGGUCCAAAGGCUGCAAAUGUAGCAGGUAAAUUUUGUCUUGCAUCUAUGACACAUUCUUGGAUUGUAGAUAGUGGGGCAACAGAUCACAUGUGCUCUGAAAUUUCCCUCUUUAGACAUUGCACAGAUGUCAUUGGCCCUGCCAAUUAUAUCACAAUUCCAAAUGGGAAACAAGUCUUGGUAACACAGAUGGGAGAUGUACAAAUUCAUGAUAAUUUGGUUUUGAAAGAUGUUCUUUAUGUUCCAGAUUUCAAGUUUAAUUUGGUAUCAAUACCAAAAAUCUGUAAGGACUUACAUUGCACAGUUUCUUUUACUGAUAAUCAAUGUUUUCUUCAGAGCAAAUCAAUGAGUCCACAGCUUCUUGGUGAAAUGAAAGGAGGUCUUUAUUAUCUGGCAGUUUCUGAACAUUUAAAGGAGAAGUCAGCAGAUUGUAUGGUGGCAACUACAAAAGCACAAGAUGAUCAGAACAAAAUUAAGCUGUGGCAUCUAAGAUUAGGGCAUAUUCCAGUUUCUAUGCUUCAUCAUGUGAAGAGUGUUUUCAAUAAGCCAUGUACUCUAGAUAAUAUCUGCCAAGUUUGUCCAGUUGCAAAGCAAGCUAGGAAGUCUUUUACUCACAGUUCUGUUAAGACUACAAAAGUGUUCUCUUUGCUUCAUAUGGAUAUAUGGGGACCUUACAAGGAACCUACUCAUAAUAAUUGCAGAUUUUUUCUUACCAUUGUGGAUGAUUUUACAAGAAUGACUUGGGUUUUUCUUAUGCAGUUUAAGUCUGAAGUAGUGAAUAUUUUUAAAGCUUUUGUGGCUCAUGUUGAGAAUAAAUAUACUGCACAUAUUCAGACUAUCAGAACAGAUAAUGGACAAGAAUUCUGUGGAGGAGCAAUGCAAGAAUAUUUUUUGCUCAAAGGGUUUGAGCAUCAAAAAUCCUGUGUUUACACCCCACAGCAGAAUGGAGUGGUUGAAAGGAAGCAUAGACACUUAUUGGAUACAGCAAGAGCUCUAUUUUUUCAAUCUAAAGUUCCUAUUCAAUUCUGGGGAGAGUGUGUGUUAGCUGCUACACAUAUUAUUAAUAGGAUGCCUCUCACAGUAUUGAACAACAUCAGUCCUUAUGAACAAUUUUUUCAGGAAUCACCAGAUUUAUCUACUAUGAAGGUAUUUGGAUGUUUGUGUUUUGUGUCAAAUCAUGAUCCACACAAAUCCAAAUUUGAUGCCAGAGCCAAUCCUCAUAUCUUUAUUGGCUACCCUGCAGGACAAAAGGGAUAUAAAGUUUUAGAUUUAAAAAGUUUACAAAUUAGUGUGUCCAGAGAUGUUACUUUUCAUGAGCAACACUUUCCUUAUCAUUUACAGUCAGAGAGUCAAGGACCACAGUUUAAAUUUUUUCUUCCUAUAACAACUGAGCAGACUGUAUUUGAUUUUUAUGAUAUACCUGAGGUAUUUUAUCAGAAUACUACAGAUGGCCACACUGAUUUUGCAGAAGAUCAUCCUUAUUCUACAGAUGCUUCUAGCUCUUCUGAAAGUUCAGGUCCUUCUUCUACUUCUUAUGAACCUGGUCCAUCUACUAGGAAAAGUACAAGAACUUCAAAGGCUCCAUCAUUCUUGCAAGAUUACAUAUGUAGUCACAGUCAGCUAAAUUUUAGAGAAAAUGAGCAUUGGUGCAAUCUGAUCUCUUCUUCCUAUUUGUCUCCAACUCAUCAUGCCUUCUUGGCACAUACUGAGUCCUUAAUAGAGCCCAAAAAUUAUGCAGAAGCUUGUAAGGAUGUUAGAUGGGUUGAAGCUAUGCAGAAGGAAUUAAAAGCUUUGCAAGACAAUCAUACUUGGGAUCUUGUUCCACUGCCUAAAGGGAAGAAAGCAAUAGGCUGCAGAUGGGUUUUUAAAAUCAAACUCAAGGCAGAUGGUUCUGUGGAAAGAUUCAAAGCUAGGCUAGUAGCUAAGGGUUACAAUCAACAAUGGGGAGUUGAUUAUCAAGAGACUUUUUCACCUGUCAUAAAGAUGACUACAGUAAGAUGUUUACUAGCUUUGGCUGCUCACAAACAUUGGAAACUUCACCAACUAGAUAUCAACAAUGCUUUCUUACAUGGUGAUUUGUUUGAAGAGGUGUAUAUGAUGGCUCCAGAAGGGUAUGACAAUCCUCAUAAUUUUGUUUGUCAGCUUGUCAAAUCUCUGUAUGGGUUAAAGCAAGCCUCAAGACAGUGGAAUGCUAAGUUACAAGCAGAACUGCAAUUAAGGGGGUACACACAGUCCAAAAAUGACUAUUCACUCUUCAUUAAGAGGAAUAGCUCACAUACAACUAUAAUUGCAGUUUAUGUGGAUGAUAUUAUUUUGACUGGUGAUGAUGAGACAGAAAUCCAGCUUAUCAAGGAUCAUCUUCAUGCUACUUUCAGCAUCAAAGAUUUAGGCCAACUCAGUUUCUUUCUGGGAAUAGAAAUAGGCUAUUUAGAUUCUGGAAUAUCAAUGUCACAGAAAAAGUUUACAAAGGAGUUGUUGAAAGAAGCCAAGAUAGAGAUUGGAAGUCACAAGUCAGUGGUCACACCACUUCCCAUUAAUCUGAAGUUGACAGCAGAAGAAGGUGAAGUGUUCUCUGAUCCAACUAUCUACAGAUCACUUGUGGGAAAACUUAAUUUUCUAACUCAUACAAGACCAGAUUUAUCAUACACUGUGCAGCACCUUAGUCAAUUCCUUCAAAGUCCAAAAGUUUCACACUAUCAGGCUUUACUACAUACUCUCAAUUAUGUAGCUUCUACAGCUGGACAAGGGAUUAUUCUCAAUGCAGAAGACAAAUUAACAUUACAGGCAUUUACAGAUUCAGACUGGGGAGCAUGUCAGGAUACAAGGAGGUCUGUUUCAGGCUACAUUAUGCUGUUAGGCAAAUCUCCAAUUAGUUGGAAAUCGAAGAAACAAGGAAUUGUCUCUAAAAGUUCUGCAGAAGCAGAGUAUAGAGCAAUGUCUGCAGCAGCAUCUGAAAUUACCUGGCUGGUUAGAUUACUUGAGGAAAUUGGUUUGGACAAAUUGCAUCCAGUGACACUUCAUUGUGAUAAUCAAAGCACAAUUCAUAUUGCAAAGAAUCCAGUACAGCACGAGCGUACCAAACACAUAGAAAUUGAUGUGCAUUUCACAAGAGACAAGGUACUUGAAGGACUCAUUCAGCUAGCCUACUUGCCCACUAAUGCUCAGCUUGCUGAUAUUUUUACAAAGAUUUUGCCCUCAGCACAUUUUCAAGAAUUACUGACCAAACUAGGAAUGGCAGAAUGCCACUCUAGUUUGAGGGGGGAUGUUAAGAUACAUGACCAGCAAGAGCAUGAAGAGAGUGACAGCUAGCAUGCACACGUCAGCAACAGUUUGUUACAAGUCGUUAUCAUACAGUUAGCUAGUAGCACUACUUGCACGACUUAGUUUUCUAUGCUACAUUGUCUAUAAAUACAUCUGCACUGUUAUUCAUUUCUAGUCAGUAAGAAAUAGAGGAAGAAUAGCUAUAGUUCAGUUUACAGUAUGUAGUCAUAUCCUAGCUUUAUACACAGUGUACAUGAGAGAUUGUUCAUGGCUGAUAUUCUGUAAACAGUUGAUUCUUGUUCUUAAUGGAAGAUUUCAGUAGUUUUUCAGUGAAUUGUAACAUGGUUCGACACCACGGCCGCAGGCAACCACCCGGGCCAACAGGUCUACCGGUCAUCGGUCACCUCCACAUGCUAGGAAAACUCCCUCACCGCAGCCUCUACAAGUUGUCACAAAAAUACGGUCCCAUAAUGUUGAUCCGCCUCGGAUCUGUUCCCACAAUUAUAGUGUCCUCGCCAUCGGCUGCUGAGCUCUUUCUCAGGACUCACGACACGGUUUUCGCUAGCAGGCCUAAUUCCCAGGCCUAUGGCAGCAAAGGGAUGGCAUUCGCGAAGUAUGGUUCGUACUGGCGCAGCGUGAGAAAGUUUUGCACAAUGGAGCUUCUUAGUGUGGCGAAAAUUGAUUCGAUGGCCAGGCUGAGAAGGGAGGAGCUGGGCUUGCUGGUGCAGUCCCUCAAAGUUGCGGCCAGGACGCGUGAGGUUGUCGAUUUUAGCGAGAAGGUGGCGCGUCUGAUAGAAGACAUGACUUGCCGAAUGUUGUUUGGGAAGAGCAGAGAUGAGCGGUUUGACUUGAGUAAGAUCAUACAUGAGCUGGCAGAGAUUGCUGGAGCCUUCAAUGUUGCGGAUUAUGUCCCAUUUUUAGGGGCAUUUGAUCUCCAGGUAUCAAUAACUGUAAAACUAUACUUUUCUAUUUAUCGACGGGUACUUAGGGGCGGUCUGGGUGAGCUUAAAAUAAGUGUUUAUUGCUUAGAGUAAAAAAGUGAAGUAGAAGUUAGAAGCAAGUUAAAACUUAUAAGUGAUAAAAGUGUUUGGGAAAUAAGUAGAAGCCAAGUAAUCGUAGGUUUUUUUAAGUACUUCUUGACUUUUUACACAAACGGUACAAAUAAGUGCUUCUAAAUUAUAAUUCAGAAGCCGGGCUUAUAAGUCUUUGCCAAACACCCACUUAAUUAUCAGAGACCCUGAUCUUUAAAUCUUUAAUGUAAUUGUUGUUAUCAGGGAUUAACUCGACGUUCCAGAGUUACUGCUAAGGCAUUUGAUAAAAUCCUGGAAACGAUCAUCGAUGAUCAUGAAGAAAAAGCUAGAAAUGACGAUACAAAGAUUGAUAGGGAUUUUGUUGAUGUCAUGCUAGCUUUGAAGAACAAUCCUACAGGUACUCACCAGCAAUUAGCGGAGACCAUUGACCGAUCAAUCACCAAAGCAAUUAUCCUGGACAUGAUUUUCGGAGCCAUCGAUACCUCCCAAACUGCGAUUGAAUGGAUCAUGUCAGAACUCAUCCGACAUCCAAGAGUGAUGAAACGACUUCAAGAAGAAAUUAGUAUCGUAGUAGAUUGCGAACUUGUGGAAGAAUCACAUCUGGAAAAACUUGAUUACCUAGACAUGGUGGUCAAGGAAACCUUCAGACUCCAUCCAAGAAGUUAGAAGCAAGUUAAAACUUAUAAGUGAUAAAAGUGUUUGGGAAAUAAGUAGAAGCCAAGUAAUCGUAGGUUUUUUUAAGUACUUCUUGACUUUUUACACAAACGGUACAAAUAAGUGCUUCUAAAUUAUAAUUCAGAAGCCGGGCUUAUAAGUCUUUGCCAAACACCCACUUAAUUAUCAGAGACCCUGAUCUUUAAAUCUUUAAUGUAAUUGUUGUUAUCAGGGAUUAACUCGACGUUCCAGAGUUACUGCUAAGGCAUUUGAUAAAAUCCUGGAAACGAUCAUCGAUGAUCAUGAAGAAAAAGCUAGAAAUGACGAUACAAAGCUUGAUAGGGAUUUUGUUGAUGUCAUGCUAGCUUUGAAGAACAAUCCUACAGGUACUCACCAGCAAUUAGCGGAGACCAUUGACCGAUCAAUCACCAAAGCAAUUAUCCUGGACAUGAUUUUCGGAGCCAUCGAUACCUCCCAAACUGCGAUUGAAUGGAUCAUGUCAGAACUCAUCCGACAUCCAAGAGUGAUGAAACGACUUCAAGAAGAAAUUAGUAUCGUAGUAGAUUGCGAACUUGUGGAAGAAUCACAUCUGGAAAAACUUGAUUACCUAGACAUGGUGGUCAAGGAAACCUUCAGACUCCAUCCAGUGGCACCACUGUUAGUUCCUCAUGAGUCAAUGGAGGACAUUGUGAUAGAUGGAUAUUACAUAGAGAAGAAUUCGCGUCUAAUUAUUAACAAUUGGGGAAU
rnacentral:lncRNA from 1 species